rnacentral:misc_RNA from 1 species
UUCCUCUACAUUCAUCCAUCGACGACAACAACAUCAACUCGAGCGCACUUGUGCACCCAGCAACCGCUGGAGCGCAACAGUCGUGGACACCCCUCCCCCGAAAGCGAGCACCCCACCACCUGAUUUGCUAAUGAUCCUUCCGCAGGUUCACCUACGGAAA